rnacentral:rRNA from 1 species
AUGGACGAAAGUCUGACGGAGCAACGCCGCGUGAACGAUGAAGGCCUUCGGGUCGUAAAGUUCUGUUGUUAGGGAAGAACAAGUACCGUUCAAAUAGGGCGGUACCUUGACGGUACCUAACCAGAAAGCCACGGCUAACUACGUGCCAGCAGCCGCGGUAAUACGUAGGUGGCAAGCGUUGUCCGGAAUUAUUGGGCGUAAAGCGCGCGCAGGCGGUUUCUUAAGUCUGAUGUGAAAGCCCACGGCUCAACCGUGGAGGGUCAUUGGAAACUGGGGAACUUGAGUACAGAAGAGGAGAGUGGAAUUCCACAUGUAGCGGUGAAAUGCGUAGAUAUGUGGAGGAACACCAGUGGCGAAGGCGACUCUCUGGUCUGUAACUGACGCUGAGGCGCGAAAGCGUGGGGAGCAAACAGGAUUAGAUACCCUGGUAGUCCACGCCGUAAACGAUGAGUGCUAGGUGUUAGGGGUUUCGAUGCCCUUAGUGCCGAAGUUAACACAUUAAGCACUCCGCCUGGGGAGUACGACCGCAAGGUUGAAACUCAAAGGAAUUGACGGGGGCCCGCACAAGCAGUGGAGCAUGUGGUUUAAUUCGAAGCAACGCGAAGAACCUUACCAGGUCUUGACAUCCUUUGACCACUUGAGAGAUCAAGCUUUCCCCUUCGGGGGACAAAGUGACAGGUGGUGCAUGGUUGUCGUCAGCUCGUGUCGUGAGAUGUUGGGUUAAGUCCCGCAACGAGCGCAACCCUUGAUCUUAGUUGCCAGCAUUCAGUUGGGCACUCUAAGGUGACUGCCGGUGACAAACCGGAGGAAGGUGGGGAUGACGUCAAAUCAUCAUGCCCCUUAUGACCUGGGCUACACACGUGCUACAAUGGAUGGUACAAAGGGCAGCGAAACCGCGAGGUUAAGCAAAUCCCAUAAAGCCAUUCUCAGUUCGGAUUGUAGGCUGCAACUCGCCUGCAUGAAGCCGGAAUUGCUAGUAAUCGCGGAUCAGCAUGCCGCGGUGAAUACGUUCCCGGGCCUUGUACACACCGCCCGUCACACCA